UUGUACAGGUGCUGCAUGGCUGUCGUCAGCUCGUGUCGUGAGAUGUUCGGUUAAGUCCGCUAACGAGCGCAACCCUCGCUGUGUGUUACAAGUGUCACACGGAACUGCCGGUCAUAAACCGGAGAGGUGGGGAUGACGUCAAGUCAGCAUGGCCUUUAUAUCCUGGGCUACACACACGCUACAAUGGGAAGGGACAAUAGGUUGCGAAGCCGCGAGGCGGAGCCAAUCCAGCAAAACUUCCCUCAGUUCAGAUUGCAGGCUGCAACUCGCCUGCAUGAAGUUGGAGUUGCUAGUAAACGCAGGUCAGCCAUACUGCGUUGAAUACGUUCCCGGGGCUU
rnacentral:rRNA from 1 species